CAGCAAUGGAUAAAAAAACAGAUGGUAGGGAGAGAGAGCCACUGGAUCGGCCUCACAGACUCAGAACGUGAAAAUGAAUGGAAGUGGCUGGAUGGGACAUCUCCAGACUACAAAAAUUGGAAAGCUGGACAGCCGGAUAACUGGGGUCAUGGCCAUGGGCCAGGAGAAGACUGUGCUGGGUUGAUUUAUGCUGGGCAGUGGAACGAUUUCCAAUGUGAAGACGUCAACAACUUCAUUUGCGAAAAAGACAGGGAGACAGUACUGUCAUCUGCAUUAUAACGGACUGUGAUGGGAUCACAUGAGCAAAUUUUCAGCUCUCAAAGGCAAAGGACACUCCUUUCUAAUUGCAUCACCUUCUCAUCAGAUUGAAAAAAAAAAAGCACUGAAAGCCAAUUACUGAAAAAAAAUUGACAGCUAGUGUUUUUUACUAUCCGUCAUUACCCAAAGACUUGGGAACUAAAAUGUUCCCCAGGGUGAUAUGCUGAUUUUCAUUGUGCACAUGGACUGAAUCACAUAGAUUCUCCUCCGUCAGUAACCGUGCGAUUAUACAAAUUAUGUCUUCCAAAGUAUGGAACACUCCAAUCAGAAAAAGGUUAUCAUUGGUCGUUGAGUUAUAGGAAGAACUUAAGCAUAUACUGUGUAAACAGUGCCAUACAUUUCUAAAAUCCCAAGUGUAGGAAAAAUAUGCAGACAUACAGAUAUAUAGGCCAACUCUUAGUAAUAAUAUGAAAUAUACUUAAAGAGCUUUUAAAACUUUGUAUUUUUGUACAAAAUAUUUGUCUUUUACAAUUUUUUUCCUUUUUUUUUUUGUCAUUUUACCGACAUAAUACAUGGAGCCAAAGAAAACAAUAAUGGUACUAAUAAAAACUCCUAGGGUUUCCUGUCAGAU
rnacentral:lncRNA from 1 species